CUGUAGGCCUCAGUGAAGCCUGAAUUCCAAUAGGCUGGCAAGCCCCAUGAAGAAGGCUUGCAGUCAGAGUGGCCACUACAGCUCUCUGCAGCAGACCCUCUUCCCAGGCCAGACAGCUCAGCCUUUGCCAGAUCAGGUGGCAUCCACAGUUCGGACAAAAUAUGCCAAAGAAUACUUCUGUGACAAAAAGAACCAAGAAGGCCUGUCUGAAAAGGGGCUAAUGUUCUAGAAUGAAGCUAACGGGCAAAUGCCUGUCAUAAAUGAUUAAAACUGGAUGAUUGGCUAACUUGAGAAGAGAUCUCCUCUGAGGGAACAGUACUUCAUCCUGCUCUGUGGAUGACGAAUAGGCAAGUCCCUCUUAGCACCCAUAUUUUCAGACAUCUAAGGAAGUCAACACAAAGUCCCUCAAGGGAUUACUCAAGUAUCUGCCUGUUGUAUAGACUCUGAAGUAACAGGCUUAGGAGAAUUUGAACCAAGUGCCACUAAGACCUGAGAAUGGAAGUUCUCAAGAUUACAAGUUCUGUUGUCUCCACUAGUGAAGGUUCGAAGACUCAACCAUUCCUUUGGGUCAUCUUGAAACAUCCAAGCAAGCUCAUUCUUCACUUUUGACCGGCUUUCCAGCAUCACGGGACUUCACCCGCAGUUUGUUGACCUGUGACUCUGCCAUGUCAGCCCGCUCUUCAGCCUCUUCCAGCUCAUGCUGAAUCUUGCGGAACUUGGAAAGGUUCACAUUGGAUAGUUCCUCCUGAGAAUGGAAAGAGAAUUGUGAAAAUCACAGUAUAAAAAAGUUCUCCAUUGGUUUUGUUUGGAAUGCAACAAGUUCAUAGGAUUCAAGGUAGUAAGCUGAAUAAAGAUUUUGAAUCUUAAGCAAUAUGUACAGGUGUUAAUUUUGCCUGUAGCUACAUUUGCAGUCGUCUGAUCCACUGAAGAGCCAUGCUUCUGAAGUAUUUUAAUUCAUACAUAUUCAUAAUUCAUUUAUUUAAUUCAUACAUAUUCAUAAUUCAUAUAUGAUUCAGUAAUGAGAUUGGGCAGGUUUUAACUGAAAUACCCCACUGUAAGUGCUUCUUAAAGGAACACAAGUUUAAGUGCUUCUUAAAGGAACACAAAGGCAUGAAAGGAGUCCAUGAGGUACUUGAGGAACAUCGGAACAUGAGAUUCAAUAUUAGGAAGAGGUUUUUUUAAAGUCCAGAGCAAAACACCUUUAUUGUGUAAUCAAAAAUAGAUUACUUAUUGCAAUAGAAGAAGGGAAAUUAUAGCACAGUUACGUUCCCACGUCUUAUCCUAAUUAUUUAUAAGGGCGAAACCUUUUUUUCUGUCAGGGCUUCUGUGCCUUUUGUUAUCUCUAUUCUUCCAUGCUAGGAAAAUGCCCAUUCCACUUUGGCAACUCAUGGCUUUUCUGAUGGAUGGAUAAUAUCCAUCCAAGAAUGCAGAAGUGCUGCAUUCAUGAUUCAAUUAAUCGUUCGACUUUGAACAUCUCAUUUUAUUCUCUCUGUCCUCAUUCAUAGCACCACAUAUGCUAUCCAUAUUCAGGGCUUUAGCUCACAGGCAUAUCAACCAAAUCACGCCGAAAUGUAACUACUGCCUCGCCUCCCAUGUAAAUUCAGUGGAAUACUUACCGCUUCUUCAGAUUGUCUCUUGUAUGCCUUCACUUUCAUCUGCAGUUUGUCCACCAGAUCCUGAAGUCUCAAGACAUUUUUCCGAUCUUCCUCAGACUGAACAAAGUUUGGACAAUAGGGAAGAAGAGCUGCACAAGCUGCAUUGGAUCUUUCCACAUCAAUCAUCAGGUCUUCAACUUCAUUCUGCAAUCUUUGCUUUGUCUUCUCAAGAGAAGCACAUUUAGAAUUAACUGCUUCUACAUGUUCUUCAGCAUCCUGCAGACGCUGGGCAAGCUUUUUCCUGAAAGAAUAAACAUAUUGGUGGCAUGUAUCUACUUUGGAAACCUGGAGUGAAAAGGGGGCCCACCAUUAAACAUGUCUUAUUUUCUCUUUCA